rnacentral:sRNA from 1 species
UUUGCUAUUUUUGAAGAUAGGGAAUACAAGGCCUCUCUGACUCUUUUUAAUCCUUCUCCACUGAAAUUACACUCUGUUUACAGGAUGUGAGUGACCAGAACAGCAUGGACUGUCCCCAGCUCUACGAACCGGGACAGCUGAAUCUGCUUUUUAACAAGCGUAAAUUUUUCAUUUGCAUGUUGCAUGGAAUCUACACCUCAUUAGUCCUUUUCUUCAUCCCCUAUGGGGCCUUUUACAAUGUGGCUGGAGAAGAUGGGCAACAUAUUGCUGACUACCAGUCCUUUGCAGUUACCAUGGCCACAUCUUUGGUCAUUGUGGUCAGUGUGCAGAUAGCCUUGGAUACCAGUUACUGGACUUUCAUUAAUCACGUCUUCAUCUGGGGGAGCAUUGCCAUUUAUUUCUCCAUUUUAUUUAUAAUGCACAGUAAUGGCAUCUUUGGCAUCUUCCCAAACCAGUUUCCAUUUGUUGGUAAUGCGCGACAUUCCCUGACCGAGAAGUGCAUCUGGCUUGUAAUUCUCUUAACAACAGUGGCUUCGGUUAUGCCAGUGGUGGCAUUCAGAUUUUUGAAGGUGGAUUUAUACCCAACCCUGAGUGAUCAGAUCCGCCGGUGGCAGAAGG